rnacentral:lncRNA from 1 species
AUGAUGUGCAGAUUUCUACAGAAGUACAUCCUGUGCUGCUGAAUGAGGCUGUAGGAGCAGCAGGACUGUGCUCGCUUCUGUGUCCUGCACUGCUGUUGCAGUGUGUUGCCAGGAGCUGUGGCUGCUGACACUCAGCUGGCACGUCCCUACCAGCACUCAGGUCCUGCGAGCUGGGGAGCACCUAUGGAUGCUGGCUGUGGGGCCAGGCCAUGCUGAGGAUGUGAAACAUGCAAAAAUGGUGAGAGCAGAAAGGGAAACCCCAGAGCAGCUGACACAGCUCUGGGCACUGGGAAGCCCCCCAUUCACCCCCUGUGUCACUGGGGCAGGACAGGGAUACUUGACGGGGGCAGCAUGAGCCCCACAGCACUGCUGCAGGCACAUGGCCCCAGGUAACAGAGCAGAACCCCACUGCAGCCCUGUGACUGUGAGCAACGGGAGGCACUUCCAAAGGCUGAUGGUGUCCUAAGGAAGAAUACAGUGUGUGGGGGUGUCUGCAUGGACAAUUUGAAGUGAGAGCUUUUAAAACUCUGCUUACAUCCCCUCGGAGCUGAGGCCAGCAGGAGCCACCCUCAGGGUCACAGGCACCUGGAGCCCUUCCCGGUGCUGGGUUUCCUGGCAUGGCGCGGAAUGAGACAGCAUCCGCAUAGCACGCAGGGGCUGCUGAGACACCUUUAUUUCUCAUUAGAGCUCCGCUCUUCCUCCACCUGCUUCCUGUGGGGGAUUUAGGUUCCUAAGAAACGCACUGAGAAAAUGAGAAAAUUCGCUGUCAGCUUCAUUGGAACUGCUCAGAGGGAGCUGAUCUGGGCACAGCUGGAGCGGUGUCUCUAGGCCGUAGGGGUUGGUCAGGACCUUGUCUGCCUCCUGUGUGCAAGAUCCUUUGGGGAGCACUGAGCCGCAGCGCAGGGAGGUGUAGGGCUGCACUGCUGGCUCUGCUCUGUCUGGAAGGUUCCAUAAAACUUGAGGUUUAUGGGAAUGAGAAUGGACUGUGCUGGGUUCACCUUUGCUCCAUGCAAUGCAUUACUGUGAGAGUGCUGGUUCAGUUCUGUUGCUCAUCCUCUCCUUGCACCUCUGAGGACUUUACUUGCGUUAAUAAAUACGAUAAUUUUCUUA